GACGGAGGGUGCUAGCGUUGUUCGGAAUUACUGGGCGUAAAGGGCGCGUAGGCGGCUGCUCAAGUCGGGUGUGAAAGCCCGGGGCUCAACCCCGGAACGGCACCCGAGACUGGGCGGCUCGAGACCGGGAGAGGUGGGUGGAAUACCCAGUGUAGAGGUGAAAUUCGUAGAUAUUGGGUGGAACACCGGUGGCGGAAAGCGGCUCACUGGCCCGGUUCUGACGCUGAGGCGCGAAAGCGUGGGGAGCAAACAGG
rnacentral:rRNA from 1 species